CCUACGGGGGGCUGCAGUGGGGAAUAUUGGGCAAUGGACGCAAGUCUGACCCAGCAACGCCGCGUGAAGGAAGAAGGCUUUCGGGUUGUAAACUUCUUUUAAGGGGGAAGAGCAGAAGACGGUACCCCUUGAAUAAGCCACGGCUAACUACGUGCCAGCAGCCGCGGUAAUACGUAGGUGGCAAGCGUUGUCCGGAUUUACUGGGUGUAAAGGGCGUGCAGCCGGAGAGACAAGUCAGAUGUGAAAUCCGCAGGCUCAACCUGCGAACUGCAUUUGAAACUGCCAUGCUGGAGUGCCGGAGAGGUAAGCGGAAUUCCUAGUGUAGCGGUGAAAUGCGUAGAUAUUAGGAGGAACACCAGUGGCGGAGGCGGCUUACUGGACGGUAACUGACGCUGAGGCUCGAAAGCGUGGGGAGCAAACAGGAUUAGAUACCCCGGUAGUC
rnacentral:rRNA from 1 species